ensembl:lincRNA
AUGGCCUCUUCAGAAUGGAGAAAAGUUAAUUAUCCUGUGGAGUGCUCUGAAGAAUGUGGAGAGAAAACCUUCCCCAUGAGAACAUGCCUAAGACAGACUGCUGAAGAAGGCGGCAAGUGGAACAGCGUUGAAUCAGCCUGGUCAUCCCAGUCAAGCCUCCAGACAUGGCCCACUAUAUCUCACACAUGCUCCUUUUCCCAGAAGAACUGAGCAAGCUACAUCACGUCGGGGUCAGCACAGCCGGGCUUAUGAAGUAGGUCUGGAGAUGGUUUCCAAAGAGACGUGUUAUUAAAGAAACAAUGCCUUUGUCUCAGCAGCAGGGCUAAGUGCUGUUUAUUUCCAGAUGCUUUCCUGGAACACAGGGAAAGGAGUGCAGCUGCACGUCAUUCAUGGAGUGGCUGAAGCAGGAUGGGGACAACACUCAGAGGAAAUGACCAGGCUCAUUCAGGGGUGGGGACAUGAUGCAAUUUGUUGUCCCUGAAAGAGAAAGACUCAGUUUCCUUCUUCAUGGGUCUGCACCUGCUCCAAACUUCAACACUCUUGUUUGUUUGAAUGACACCAUCCAUUUCUCCUUCACCUAAUCUUCUAAGCUUUAGCAAUUUUUAAUUUAUCCAUAUAAAUAUCUUCUUAAUUCUUUUUUCUCACCCCUAUAUUAUUCAUUCUGAUUAAAAUAGUGGCUCUGAAUACAGGCUCUGGAGAAAAUCUGAUUCAGUCAGAAUCCAUCUCCAUUUGUUUUUGGACAAGCCUUCUUCAAAACUUGCUUUUCAUUAGUGGAGAUGGUGAUGUGAGCCUGUAAUCCCAGGUACUUGGGAGGCUGAGGCAGGAGGGUCGCUUGAGCUCAGGGGUUCAA